UUAGAGAAGCUCUAUAGCUGUUGCAGCUUGGAGGAACCCACAGGAGAUGAAUUAGGCCUUUGUGGGGACAAUCUCCAAAUGAGGACUUAGAGUUUGACAGUCAAAGUCCCAAGAAAGCGAUCAGAGUCCUGGGAAAGGGAGACAGCGAGGAGAUCCUGUCAGUAAAUUCCAGGUAGGAAGAGUGUGCUGACAAAGAGAUAGCAUGGAGAGACCAAGUAAUUAAGAGGUUAGCUUUCCAAGGAGGAGUAGCAGAACAAGCAAGUGAACCCCCCUGUGGAGGGGGGAAAAGCAGCCAAGUCUGAGAGGGACUGCUGAAGAUCUACUGACAAGAGGAGAUGAGAAGAAGAAGAAGAUUCCUGUGAGGAGGGUCACCAGCUCUGAGACUUGGAACAGAAGAAAUACUAGGACAAAAAUGUCAAAGAGUUACCCAAUUGCAUGUGAGAAGAGGGUGUUAGAUUUUAAACUGAAAGUGGCUGGCAACCUGCCAAGGACAAUUUUCUGCAAUUUUUAGCAGUGGAACCAUUCUCAUGGCAAUGCAGAGAGAUUUGAGAAUGGAAACAGCAGCCCUCGCCUGUGAAAUUCACCUUCCUCAUUAUGUGGAAAAGACUUAAAAGUUUGAGGGGAAAAUGAUGCUCUCUGUUAUCAUUGCUAAAAAUAUGAUGUAUCACCAGCAGUGGGAAUUGUUUUCAAAUGGCAGUGUAUAGAUUUGGGAGCAGAGUCUCAGCCAAUGAAAAUUGUCAUAGCUCCAUUGAGUUCAACAGUGCUAAGACAAUGUAUAGCAGCUGAGGCUCUGCCUCUUUGGGCCCAGCUAAGCUCCCCUAGUUAUAUUUAUUCAAAUACCAACAGUCUGAUUUAUUGUUGAAAGCACUUUGUUGUGGGGCAGGAGGUUAGUGACAUAUAACACAAGGGGAGGUUACACAACAUUUUAGAUUUCAGAAAUGUUAAUAUCUUCUGCAUAUUUUCAUCACCUAAAAGGAAUUGGGAUGAUAAAUAGUAUUUUAACAUUACAAAUUCACUGCAAAGCACAAUCUCUGGAAAAUAACUUAUGGUAGCUCUUUCAGAAUUCACUAUUUUAUUUUAUUUUUUAUUGAGGAUUGUCUCCCUGCAGCUGUGGUAUGAGCCAUUUGUCAUUUGUUAUCUUAGACACUGUGCCUGCUAUCCAGGCUCUAGAAAUGUAUUUCAUCACAGAGCUGUCCAGCUAAAUGGAUGGUGUUUGUGUGUGCUAAAUUUAUGGUUCAAUUACAAUCAAUCUUAUACUAUCAGCUCCCAGUGCAUGUAUACAAUUAAUACAAACAAAAUGAAGACCCAUCACGUCUGUGUCAUGCUGCUAAAAAGUGAACAAAGUUAAGUCAAUUCCCUCUUUAUCGGUAAUGGGACUGAGCAUAUGAUUUUAGAGUGUGAUGCUAUUUUCACCUGAGCUGAUGUAAUACAGAAGGGUACCAUUUUCUCUAGUAAAUUAGUAAUUUAUUCCAGUUUUGUAGGUUUAUGGCUGUAAUCCAUAUAAAACCUUGCACACAGCAAAGAUUUAGAAGUGUAGUUAUUGGGAGGUUGGUAUUUUUCAUCCCAGAGCAAGCUCAUGAACCUCAUUUGGGGUAAGGUUAUUCAAAGCCUGCAGAGAUGUGCUUGUCAUAACGGUACAAUUAAAUUAUCAGAAUACAGUAACAUCCAGCUGAACAGCACAUCCUUUGCCUGUCCUAUGAGAACAUCUAAGUCAGGGAAAAUGAGAUCACCUUUGGUGUGACGAGUGGGACACAUCAGAUCCAGGUUUUAUUGAUAGAGGCUUGAGGAUACAACUGUAACUUAAAAAUCAGAAAACAAAUAUUUUGCAAUUAUUUACUUUUCCACAGAAAAUAUGCCUCAAAAUGGGCCAGUGAGUUUGUUGAGCUUCCUUGGUGUAUAAUAAAUUACCUUCUCCUUGACGUGAAUGACGUGUUAAAAAUGAACAGAACCUAAUUCUGCAAUGUGAUGUGUUGCAUCCAGGCUUGUAUCAUGCACAUUAUAAAUCUGUGGAUUAGAUCCAAUUAUAUUUUACAGGCCGUUCCACGAAGGUUAGGAUUAAAGAACCUUGACAAAGUAUUCAACCUGAAGACUGCAAUUAACCAUGCAGAGUCCAGACCAAUUACACUGCUGUUUAAAACAAACAAAAAACAAACAAAUAAAAAACAAAAACCAGAUUUGUCAUGGAGAGAAUUUAUGGCUAUAAAUUAAUCCUGGCCACAUAUUUAGCCGCUUAGAAGAAAUCUCAAUAUGUGCCUGUAGAAUUAUAAUAAUACCCUCUUAUAGAACCUUUAUGUAUUUUCAUUCUCUGGUCCUGCAAAUAUCUGAGCUGUAAAGAAAAGCUUUCCUCCCUCCCGCUUACAACAAUGGUGAGUCAGUAUAGCUUGGCAAUGUUCCACAUUAUUUGAUAAUAGAUGUCACCUUGAUACUUCACCAAAAGCUCAUCUGCAAAUGUGUUUGUCCUGAACUAUAGUGCUCACAUCAGUUUUAGGCCCUAGUUAUAAUUACAUUGAUAAACCUUUUAUCAAUCAGCAAAUUGAUUCUGCAUAAUGCUUUAAUGCAGCUCUCAAUGACAUGUUACCAUGCUCCACUAAUAUACGGACACUCGUAGUAGCAGAUGAGGUCCCAGAAGAUGCAGUGCAACAUAUUACACAAGCACUGGAAUACAUCAAUUUAAUUAAAUUCUUCCUCUUUGAGCUGAGGACUAAGAGCCUUGUUCUGAUGAGCUUUUACAGUCGUGUCUUCUCAGGUCAGACUAGAUGAUCAUAAUGGUCCCUUCUAAUCUUAAAAUAUAAAUUCAUCUAGUUUUCCUCCGAUCUCUCUGGCCAUCCCUUUAAUUCCUCCUCUCCUUUCUCACUGUCAUGGGCAUCCCACAGGGCUCUGAUGUGGCUCCCUCCUCUUCUUACUUUACUCCCUUUCCUCAAAUACUUUCACGUCGUCAGUUACUGUUGAGGAUUCACAAAUCUACCUGUCCCUUCCUCAUCUGUCUCUUCAUUCAAUCCCAGCCAGUCUCUCUCACGUCUCUUCUUAUGUGUCUCCCCGUCAGCUCCAGCUUUCCACAGCAAAACUGAACUCCUUACCUGUGUUCUCCACUCUGCCAUUGUGUCACUCCUGUCACCAUCACCAUUCUCCUUAUCACUCAGAAUCAGAAUGGGGAUUGACCCUGGCCCCACAAAACCAGGCCAUAUUUACGGAUUGUUCUUUCUACCUCCAAAACAUUUCCAAAAUUCAGCCUCUCUUCUCUGUCCUUACAGCUAAACUCUUAUCUAUGACCAUAUAAUCACCCCUCCUCCCUGCCUUCCCCGGCACCCAGGUUGCCCUCCUCCAGGCCAGGCAAACAUUAUGCAUAGAAAUGUACAACUGAUUGUCUUGGAGAAAUAUAAACUACAUUUUUUAAAUGCUAACAAACAUUAAUCCGAGGUAAU